GCCUGGGUGGCUCAGCUGAUUGAGCAUCCGACUUCAGCUCAGGUAUCUCAUGGUUCGUGGGUUCAAGCCCUGCAUCAGGCC
rnacentral:tRNA from 1 species